UUGUCAUCUUUACUUUCAGAUGAAGGAGAGCUUUAGAAAGAUGUGUUUGUUGUCUGUGUGCUUCAUUGCAACAGCCCUGCCACACUAGGAGGAAGACAGGUUUUGGGUCCUGUCUUGGUGAUAAAGAUAAAACUAAAGGACAAUCAAAUCUCAUCAAACUUCUCUCUGAGGAGCUGAUGACGUUUCAGAAACAGUGACAAAGUUCAGAAUCCCAUUCUUCCAUCCUAGAUGGGAAACAUCAACUUUCCUGAUGAUUUCUGUUGGCUGCUGUGGCAAAUGUCACACACUUAGUGACUUCAAAUAACCCAGAUGUAUCAUCUGACAGGGUGGAGAUGG
rnacentral:lncRNA from 10 species